rnacentral:rRNA from 1 species
UACGUAGGGUGCAAGCAUUAAUCGGAAUUAUUGGGCGUAAAGGGCGCGUAGGCGGAUGGAUAAGUCAGAUGUGAAAUACCAAAGCUCAACUUUGGUGCUGCAUUUGAAACUGUCUAUCUAGAGGAUUGACGGAGAAAGCGGAAUUCCACGAGUAGCGGUGAAAUGCGUAGAUACGUGGAGGAACACCGGUGGCGAAAGCGGCUUUCUAGUUUAGACCUGACGCUGAGGCGCGAGAGCAAGGGGAG